UCCUGGGUUCAAGCGAUUCUCUUGCCUCAGCCUCCUGAGUAGCUGAGACUACAGGCGUGUACUACCACACCUGGCUAAUUUUUGUUUGUUUGUUUGUUUUGAGAUGGAAUCUCCCUCUGUCACCAGGCUGCAGUGCAGUGGCAUGAUCUCGGCUCACUGCAACGUCCACCUCCCAGGUUCAAGCGAUUCUCCUGCCUCAGCCUCCUGAGUAGCUGGGACUACAGGUGUACGCCACCAUGACCAGCUAAUUUUUGUAUUUUUAGUAGAGACAAGGUUUCACCACGUUGGCCAGGAUGGUCUCGAUCUCUUGACCUCGUGAUCCACCCGCCUCAGCCUCCCAAAGUGCUGGGAUUACAGGCGUUAAUUUUUAUAUUUUUAAUAGAGCUGGAGUUUCAUCAUGUUGGCCAGGAUGGUCUCAAACUCCUGACCUCAAGUGAUCCACCCAACUCAGCCUCCCAAAGUACUGGGAUUACAGGCGUGAGCCACCACGCCCAGCCAAAGCCUCAUUUCUUGAAGAAAAUCUUAGCUUCUAAAUCGUUUUGUGUCCAAAUUCCAUAUAUCAGGCUUUGAGGGAAGGUGGGGGGUAUGUACAUGUGUGCUAAAGAUAACAUUACAGUGGCGCAGUCUGCAUACACUCAGGCCUGCAGCAAUUGAGUAAUAUUCACUAAAUUAGAACGAAUGUUUCUGACUUUCUUUCCCUAACGUCUCAUCUGUGCCACUAGCAGGCAAGGGGCUAAGUAGUGAAAAGGUGUGUGAUACUCAUAUUUCACAUUCUGGCAUCAUAAUGUCAUAAUGUUUCCUGCCCUCUCCAUUCCCACCCUGAGCCUUAAGUUAGCCAGUACCAAUCCGGACCACCCAGCUGCCAGAAUCCCAACAGCAAUGACAGCUCAAGAGUCCUGCUUUAUCUGUGGCUCACAUCCCAACCCAUGCCCCUUGCCAAGUUUCAUACUCUCUUUACCUGCUCUGGUUGCCCUCUUUGACCUCCUUUCUCUUUUGUGUCCUGCACACAAGAUGCUGAUUUUCUGGCAUUGAUGACAGCUCCUCUCUCCUAUGUCACACUUUCCCCUUGCCCUUCAGUUUGUGCUUGCUUUUGAUGUCACCGUGUGUAACACAACUGGAGUUCCUGGCUUCCCUUUACCCCGCCAGUGUUUCCCCUGAGUUUGCCAUUCAUCUCACAGAAGUUUUUCUUGUAACCUUAAGAGUUUUUCUUUUCUUCCCUUUGUACAAAAAAAAAAAAAAAAAAAAAAAAAAAAAAAAAAAAAGGUCACUUCUCAGGUCCCAACUCCUUCUUUUCUGGUGCCCUCAUUUGUCAAAGUGACAUCUGGUUAUUGGAAAGUGGCAGUUCCUGCUAUUCCAUGAAUAAUGUGAAUGGGCUAAUUUGAGGGGUACUGCCCCAUUUCCUGUUUAGAACUUACCAAAGGGGCACGUGCUUUUUGAAAAUUGCUUUCAGAGAAAAACCUUCUAGACCAAGCUUGUCCAACCUGUGGCAUGCAAGCUGCAUGUAGCCCAGGACAGCUUUGAAUGCAGCCCAACACAAAUUCCUAAAUUUUCUUAAAACAUUAUAAGAUUUUUUGUGUGUGAAUUUUUUUUAGCUCAUCAGCUAUCAUUAGUAUUAAGUUUAUGUGUGGUCCAAGACAAUUCUUCUUCUUCCAAUGUAGCCCAAAGAAGUCAAAAGAUUGGGCACCCCUGUGCUAGACUUUUAUUAAGCUGAAGUUCAUAGGUUUCCUUAGUUAUUCAGGUUUCCUUGGUUUUUCACCCUAGUGUUAUUUUUCUGUCCUGGGAUUUGAUCCUGGAUACCAUAUUUCAUUCAAUCAUCCUAUCUCCCUAAGCUCCUCUUGUCUGUGGCAGUUUCUCGGAGUUUCCUUAUUUUUGAUGACUUUGCCAGUUUGGGGCAGUUGUGAUCAAGUAUUUUGGAGUGUCUCUUAAUUGAGAUUUUCCUGAUGUUUUUCUCAUGAUAAGACUGAGAUUCUGAGUUUUGAGAAAGCUCACAGACUUGUUAAGUUCUAUUUUCUUCACAUCACAUCAAGGGUACAUAACAUCAACACAGCUUUUCACUGUUGAUGUUAAUCCUGGUCACCUGGCCACAGGAGUGUUCGUGAGGUUUCCCCAGUGUAAAGUUAUUCCCCAGCCCCUUUUCUGCAGUGUUUGGGAUUCUGGCAUAAGUCACAGAUGUUGGCCUCCUUUGGAUUGUCUCCGAGGCUUUCAGUAUUGGUCCCUAUGAACUGGGCAAUCACAUCGUGCUUAAAACAGGUCUGUUGUCUAAGAAAUUAGGAUUCUAAUAUUCUUACUUUGUUGCAGACCAAAAAAAACUUCUUUGGGUUGUUGUUUAUUUUUAUUUAUGUUUUUAGUAGAUGCCAGGUAAGGAAGGAAAAUAGCUGUGAUCCUUGUGGUGAAACUCUGCAUCUUGGCUGUAAUGGUGGUUACAUGAACGUACACAUCUGAUAAAAUCACAUAGAAUGAAUCAUACACACACACAGACAUACACAAAAUUGCAUGUAAAACGGACGAGAUCUGAACACAGUCAAUAGUUUGUGUCAAUGUCAAUUUCCUGCUUGUGACGUUAUACUCUAGUUAUGCAAAGUACUACCACUGGGGAAAGCUGAGUAAAGGAUGCAUCUUUCUGUAUUAUUUCUUACGACCUGCAGGUAAAGCUACAAUUAUCACAAAAUAAUAAGUUUAAAAAGAUUAAACUAUUAAAUACAAUUUAAAGUAUCUGUGCAGUUCUUUUUGUCUUUAGAAUACACUUCACUAAGCCUAUAUAGUCAAAAAAUACAUAUUUUAAAGUCACGUGAAAAAAAUGUACUAUGGGCUUAUAUUAUUAAUGCAAUAUUCAGUUAGAGUUAUUUGCUCAUUUACUUUUAUUUGUUUUCAAUAUCAGGGAUUUCUUACUAAACUGAGUUGUGUUUUCUUAAUAGGUAAUGUAUCUACAUGAUUCAAAAGUUAACAAUAAAAUGAAGAGAUGCCUAGAAAAUCCUGCUUCCUUUAGUGCCUCUUCCUUUGUUUUCCCGAGGUCUCAACCCUUUAUAGAUAAAUAUUUUCUUAUGUCAUACUUACCCUUCCAGAGUUUGUUUGUAUGAACGAAUAACUGCCUUAUCUUACUAAAGAAAUCAACAUACAAUACAUACUAUGAUGCAUGUUGCUCGUUUUCCCGGUAUAUUUUAGAAUAACAAUAUAUUCUGUCUUUAUCAUAAUACAUAGAGAACGUCCUUAUUCUUAAAAACUAUAUGAUAUUAGAUUCCACCACAAGAAUGUACCAUAGUUUACUCAGUUUUCUUUUGCAGAACAGUAAGCUAACAGAUAAUACCACAAUGAAUAACCUGGUACGUAUGAGAUUUCUUACUUAUUCAGGAAUAUCUGUAGUGGGCAUUUCUAGAAGUUUGAUUGUCAGGUUUAAAAAUUAAAGAAUUUGCAAUGUUAUUAGAUACUGUCAGAUUUUCCUCCAUAGAUAUUGAACUAUUUUGCUCUUCUUCCAGAAAUUACAAGUGUCUCUUCAACACCAUUAUUUUCAAACUCCUGUAUUUUCUCCAAUUUGAUAGCUAAGAAAUGAUUAUUAACGUAGUUAAUUUUUAUUCAUUUUAUUAUGAGUGAGGUUGCACAUCUUCACAAAUGCUUAAAUGCUAUUUGUAAUUUGUUUUUUGUGUGAUUUGUCUUUUUAUAUCCUUUGUUUAGUUUUUUCCAUUGGGGUG
rnacentral:lncRNA from 1 species